AAUUUUGGACAAUGGGGGCAACCCUGACGCAGCAACGCCGCGUGGAGGAUGAAGUCCCUUGGGAUGUAAACUCCUUUCGACCGGGAAGAUGAUGACGGUACCGGUGGAAGAAGCACCGGCUAACUCUGUGCCAGCAGCCGCGGUAAUACGUAGGCAGCAAGCGUUGUUCGGAAUUACUGGGCGUAAAGAGUGUGUAGGCGGUGCUCUAAGUUCGGUGUGAAAUCUCCCGGCUCAACUGGGAGGGUGCGCCGAAAACUGGGGUGCUGGAGCGCGGGAGAGGAAAGCGGAAUUCCUGGUGUAGCGGUGAAAUGCGUAGAUAUCAGGAGGAACACCGGCGGUGUAGACGGCUUUCUGGACCGUAGCUGACGCUGAGACACGAAAGCGUGGGUAGCAAAC
rnacentral:rRNA from 1 species